rnacentral:rRNA from 1 species
AUUGAACGCUGGCGGCAGGCCUAACACAUGCAAGUCGAGCGAGCGGCGGACGGGUGAGUAAUGUCUGGGAAUCUGCCUGAUGGAGGGGGAUCACUACUGGAAACGGUAGCUAAUACCGCAUACCAUCAGAUGUGCCCAGAUGGGAUUCGCUAGUAGGUGGGGUAAUGGCUCACCUAGGCGACGAUCCCUAGCUGGUCUGAGAGGAUGAUCAGCCACACGGAAACUGAGACACGGUCCAGCCUCAUACGGGAAGCAGCAGUGGGGAAUAUUGCACAAUGGGCGCAAGCCUGAUGCAGCCAUGCCGAGUGUGUGAAGAAGGCCUUAGGGUUUUAAAGCACUUUCAGUCGGGAGGCGUGACCCGCAGAAGAAGCACCGGCUAACUCCGUGCCAGCAGCCGCGGUAAUUC